CCUACGGGGGGCAGCAGUGAGGAAUAUUGGUCAAUGGCCGCAGGGCUGAACCAGCCAAGUCGCGUGAGGGAUGACGGUCCUAUGGAUUGUAAACCUCUUUUGUCAGGGAGCAAAGGGCGCCACGUGUGGCGCUUUGCGAGUACCUGAAGAAAAAGCAUCGGCUAACUCCGUGCCAGCAGCCGCGGUAAUACGGAGGAUGCGAGCGUUAUCCGGAUUUAUUGGGUUUAAAGGGUGCGCAGGCGGAAUGUAAAGUCAGCGGUAAAAUUUCGGGGCUCAACCCCGUCGUGCCGUUGAAACUGGCGUUCUUGAGUGAGCGAGAAGUAUGCGGAAUGCGUGGUGUAGCGGUGAAAUGCUUAGAUAUCACGCAGAACUCCGAUUGCGAAGGCAGCAUACCGGCGCUCAACUGACGCUCAUGCACGAAAGCGUGGGUAUCGAACAGGAUUAGAUACCCGAGUAGUC
rnacentral:rRNA from 1 species